AGAUAUCUCUUUUCUCAUCCUACUGAACAAAAGGUGUUUGUCAGUAAAUAUGCCACUUUUAUGAAAAAAGAGUUUAUCCUAAAAAAAGGCAGUGAGAAGAAAAUUGAACUUGGAGAAGUCCAAAACCUAUAAAUGCAAGCACAAGAUGAUCUUCAAUCAGAAAUAUCUAUUAAUAAAGUACAACCACAAAAUACACCUCCUCUUCGA
rnacentral:lncRNA from 1 species